rnacentral:rRNA from 1 species
UACGUAGGGGGCCAGCGUUGUCCGGAAUCAUUGGGCGUAAAGCGCGCGUAGGCGCCAGACAAGUCCGGUGUGAAAGUCACAGGCUCAACCUGUGAAUGCCGCUGGAAACUGUCUGGCUAGAGUCCGGAAGGGGCGAGUGGAAGUUCCUGGUGUAGCGUGAAAUGCGCAGAUAUCAGGAGGAACACCAAUAGCGAAGGCAGCUCGCUGGG